rnacentral:pre_miRNA from 1 species
UCAGCUUAUAUUUGAAUGGAAUGGGAUCGUUUGCGUAUGUUUGCCGCUAGGGGCGCUGUUCCAACUGCAUACAAAAUUGGGUUA